rfam:Oryza rufipogon genomic scaffold, chr08
UUUAAAUGCAACCAUAAGUUUUCGCGCUCAACUUUGAUCGUCCGUCUUAUUUGAAAAUUUUUAAUAAUUAGUAUUUUUGUUAUUAUGUACUCGUGACUUUUUUUUUUAAUUUUUUUAAAUAAGAUGGACGAUCAAAAUUGAGCGUGAAAAACUAUAGCUGCACUCAAA